UACAGAGGUCCCAAGCGUUGUUCGGAUUCACUGGGCGUAAAGGGCGUGUAGGCGGUCAGGUAAGUGGGAUGUGAAAGCCCUCGGCUCACCCGAGGAUCUGCAUCUCAAACUGCCUGGCUUGAGUAUGGGAGAGGAUGAGGGAAUUCCUGGUGUAGCGGUGAAAUGCGUAGAUAUCAGGAGGAACACCGGUGGCGAAGGCGCUCAUCUGGCCCAAUACUGACGCUGAGGCGCGAAAGCUAGGGGAGCAAACGGG
rnacentral:rRNA from 1 species